rnacentral:rRNA from 1 species
CCUACGGGAGGCAGCAGUGAGGAAUAUUGGUCAAUGGGCGAGAGCCUGAACCAGCCAAGUCGCGUGAGGGAAGACGGUCCUCUGGAUUGUAAACCUCUUUUAUCUGGGAGCAAAAAGGCCUCGUGCGGCCACAUAUGCGAGUACCCGAAACAAAAGCGUCGGCUAACUCCGUGCCAGCAGCCGCGGUAAUACGGAGGAUGCGAGCGUUAUCCGGAUUUAAUGGGGUUAAAGGGUGCGUAGGCGGACUGGAAAGUCAGCGGUAAAAUCGAGAGGCUCAACUGUGGAAUUUCAUAUGAUACUGUUCGGCUAGAGAGUAGGUGCGGUAGGCGGAAUGUAUGGUGUAGCGGUGAAAUGCUUAGAGAUCAUACAGGACACCGAUUGUGAAGGCAGCUUACCAAGCUACUGCUGACGGUGAGGCACGAAAGCGUGGGGAGCAAACAGGAUUAGAUACCCCGGUAGUC